AACCCUAUCUCGGCUCUCGCAUCGAUGAAGAACGUAGGGAAAUGCAAUACCUGGUGUGAAUUGCAGAAUCCCGCGAACCAUCGAUUCUCUGAACGCAAGUUGCGCCCGAGGCCACUCGGCCGAGGGCACGCCUUCUCCAAUCCUC
rnacentral:rRNA from 3 species